GUUUUAUAUAUAUAUAAUUUAUUCAGAAUUGUUCUUUAAGUUAUUGUCCUGUGAUACACAAAACAAAUGAUUAUGAUGCCCUUUACAAGAUCUUAAAAGGGAACUUCACCUUAAAACAUUUAAAAAAAACAAAAAAACAAAGCAUCUGAUUCUGAGUUAAUAUUUCAAAACAUUUAAUUUUGAAUGUUUCUUUCCUUCCUUCAGAAAUGAAUAUUAUUACAUCCCAGUUGAGACCUAAAAGAUGGCAGGAAAUUGACUCUGAACCGAUGCAAUAAUAAGGCAGACAUAUUUUGCAAAAAAGAAAUGUUUUGGUCUUAGUAGAUUUUUUUUUAAAUACAAUUAUGCAAACUUGUAUUAUUUCAUUUUAGACCAAUCAGCCUAAAUUUGAUUUAAAAAAACAAUAGCUCUCAACCCAUGUCUUAAAGAGAUAAAUUUCCAGGCUUUCAAGAAUCACACAACACUUUCAAGUUAAGUUAAACAUUUUAUUAUAAU